rnacentral:rRNA from 1 species
GACGAACGCUGGCGGCGUGCUUAACACAUGCAAGUCGAACGGAAAGGCCCCUUUGGGGGUCCUCGAGUGGCGCACGGGUGAGUAACACGUGAGUAACCUGCCCUUGACUUCGGGAUAACUUCAGGAAACUGGGGCUAAUACCGGAUAGGAAUCCUUGCUGCAUGGUGGGGGUUGGAAAGCUUCGGCGGUUUUGGAUGGACUCGCGGCUUAUCAGCUUGUUGGUGGGGUAGUGGCUUACCAAGGCUUUGACGGGUAGCCGGCCUGAGAGGGCGACCGGCCACAUUGGGACUGAGAUACGGCCCAGACUCCUACGGGAGGCAGCAGUGGGGAAUAUUGCACAAUGGGCGGAAGCCUGAUGCAGCAACGCCGCGGGCGGGAUGACGGCCUUCGGGUUGGAAACCGCUUUCAGCAGGGGCGAAGCUUGUGGUGACGGUACCUGCAGAAGAAGCACCGGCUAACUACGUG